ensembl:lncRNA novel transcript
AUUCAAGUCAAAUGGAGGCUUUUCAUACAGUGAAAUCCACAGUAGCUCUCUGUGGUAUGUAGGGCUACUAGCCAGAUAUACCUGAAAGCAAGCGCUUGCCUUGCUCUCCCUCUGCCACAGAACGAUGACACAGGGAUAACAAAGGGAAAUACCAGGGAAUGUCAAGUCAAACAAAUCGUAGAUCUUCUCUGGCGGCUUCUUUGACCUUGUUCUGAGUGAACACCGUGUACAUCAAGGAAGAUAAUUACAACUUUUUCAAGUCUUCUAAAAUCGACCUAACCUCUUAGGUUAUUUCCUGGCCUCCCUUCUGUGACCUUUGACCAAGGCCAACCUUUAGCUGGAGAAUGUGACAUUUUGUUCUCCUCUGGCUGACAUGUGAUGCUCUCAUUAUUCAAAGGAAAAGUGUUGUCAUUUGAACGUCAAGGGUUUCUCAGACCACCAGAAAAGAUUAUCUCCUUUUGAUAUCUCUGCUUAGAGGAAUACAGAAUGUGGCCACAUGUUACUCUUCUACCAAUGUCAGGAUAAAGCAUGCAUUAGGAUCCCUCAGUGGAGAACUAUGUCCAUUCCAUGCUCCUUCCAACUAGUUUGAGAAAUGGCUCCAAAUUUUCCUUAAUAUUAUUCUGAAUUGCUCUAUGAAACUCCCUGUGGUGGCGACCAGUAUCUUCAAACUCAUACCAGAGUAAAGCCUUUAGAGAUCGGGUUUUGCCAUGUGGGCCAGGCUGGUCUUGAACUACUAGCCUUAAGAGAUCCACCUGCCUCAGCCUCCCAAAGUUCUGGGAUUACAGAUCCAUUUGGAGUUCUUUCUGAUGCAUUAUGUGAGAAAAACAAGCAAACAAAUGAACACUUAUUUGUAUUUGAAUUGCACUAAAUUUAUACAUGAAACUGAAAAAAACUGAUAUCUUUAUGAAGCUGCAUAAUCCUAUCCAAGGACAGACGUCUCCUUCCAUUUGUUUUGGAUACAUCUGGAAUUGACUUUUUUGCAUGGUGUAAGAAAUAACAGUUCUUCCUGGAUCAGCCCUCUCCCGUCUGUCAUCUCCAACAGAUACAAAGCCAGCUUUAAGAAGACCAAACCUACAAAAAUCAUUCAUGCUUUCUGCCUCCAUGUUUUUCUUUCCAACCUAGUUCCUCCAGAAAAUGUAAAAGAGCAACCGAACCGUCAACUGGUACAAUGACUUCUACACAUCAGACCUCGGCCACGCCACAGUCAUCAGAUUAUUCUAUCACAGGGUCUCUCAACCGUGGAAUAUGGUCUCCAAGGGAAACAAGCCACAGAGGGCUCAGGAGCAUUGCUAUAAAGAGUAGGCAAAUGGAAAUCUUUCCCCAAAGGGCACACUGGGAUUGUUAGGCGAGGGCUGCUCAAUCCAUUAAAAGUUUAAACUCGAAAAAAAAAAAGAAAAAAAA